UCAGUAACUUUACCUUGUAUGAACGUCCAUGUUUCCAAAAUGAACACUUCGUGUUCUCCGUAAAAAAUGCACUUUAAUUUUUACACAAAUAUUUAAGCUUGUUUGUUGAUCAAAUAUUGAGCAUUUUUUUUGGCUGAAUAUCAAUCAAAUGCAUUGUCGAUCAGAAAUUAAAGUUUAAUGAAUUGUGGCUUGUAUAUAGCUGUGUAAAAAUUUAGUUUAUAUUUAUGUAUUUGAUGCAGAUGGUCAAGCUAGUUGUUGAGAUCGUCUUGGUGAAAGAAGUUUCUGUGAUGAAUUUUCUAAUUCGAGAAAUUCAAAAAUGGAAAGAAAUUAGAAUAUAAGAUAAUGUCAUUGAACGAUAUCGUCAAAAUAUCGUCUUUGGACUGUAUAUGUUGCAGAUGUCACCUGACGCUGUUGAAGUUGUACUGACAUAAUUUUGAGAAGUCUUUUCCUGAUAAAGUUGCAGCAGUGGCCGCAAACAUCGUGAAUAAGCUUGUUAAGUAGGUGCAGAGAAACCAAAUAUGAGCCUCCUAGUAAAGUAAGAAUCUUAGAGAGAUUGAUGGGACAUACAAAAAAGGAACUAAUAAAGUUAAGCAUCUUAUGAAGAAUCUUGCAGCAAGACAGCAAUCAUCUUCAGGAUUCAAGGGGAUUUGGAUAUCGCUGGACAGAAACCUCGAAGUGUACUUUAGUUCAAGGGAGAAGCAGUUCUUAUACGAUAUUAUGGCAAAUGGUCGAAAUGGAAUCGAUGUGGACAAGUUUGAUUACAUCGUCAGAGAUACCCGAGCGUGUGCUCUAGGAUGCAUUUUUCUGUUUCAAAGGUUAAUGGAGACAAUGAGAGUUCUGGGAGACGAUAUAUGCUAUGGAGCCUAAGAUUAUUUAACCAUCCACAAGUUAGUUGCCACACGAGCUGAUCUACACAGAACUAUUUAUACUCAUGCUAAAGUGAAGGCAAUAGAGCUUAUGGUGGUAGAUGCAGCAGUGAAAGCAAAUGAUUAUCUACAGAUAGUAUCCCAUAUAGAGCACCCUUCUCAAUACUGAAGAUCAAUGGUAGUUGGGUGAAAUGGAUGAUGAAAUGGCUGAUGGAUGACUGGAGAGUUCUUUUCUGAUGUUGAGGAAUAAGCCAAAGUAUUUCCCGCUGUUGGUUUUGUGCAAACAAUGACAUACAAGGAUUGAGAUGCGAUAUAGUGUUGAGGUACGUUUGGUGCCUUAAUUUUCUCGCUAUACAUAAAGAGAGUUACUUUUAUUUAUCAUACCAGAAUGUGAAUUCCUGUAUCUUAUGUUUUUAACAUUGGAUUUUAGCAAUAUAUAAUUAAAGUAUUUUUAAUUAUCAUACCAGAAAGUGAAAUCCUGUACCUUAAGUUUGUAACAUUAGGUUUUGUUACUUACACACUUUGGGGUUUCUUUCUUCAAAUUCACAUGUUGUAUCUGUUAUGCUUGAAGUUCCAUUGACGUUUGACAUUGGCUAUGAACUUGCCCAUGUCGAAUGUGGAUGCUUGACGCAUGCCCCUGACGAUGUCGGUUGUGGGCUAUGGGCGCUGGUUGCGUCAUUGCCGUCGUCAGCUACUUGCUCUUGCCCAUGUUGCUGUGCCCUUUGAAUCUAUAAUAUUUGAAGGUCAAAUCAUUCAUAUGUGCUUACUUAAGAUUGUAUCCCUGUGUUAAUGUUUUAGGACAAUAUGUUUACCUUAACUAAUAUACCUUUUUUGGCUAAAAGAUUCAAGUUGAAGAGUAUAAUUUCUGCGUAAUU